AUUGAACGCUGGCGGCAUGCCUUACACAUGCAAGUCGAACGGUAACAGGUCUUCGGAUGCUGACGAGUGGCGAACGGGUGAGUAAUACAUCGGAACGUGCCCGAGAGUGGGGGAUAACGAGGCGAAAGCUUUGCUAAUACCGCAUACGAUCUCAGGAUGAAAGCAGGGGACCGCAAGGCCUUGCGCUCACGGAGCGGCCGAUGGCAGAUUAGGUAGUUGGUGGGAUAAAAGCUUACCAAGCCGUCGAUCUGUAGCUGGUCUGAGAGGACGACCAGCCACACUGGGACUGGGACACGGCCCAGACUCCUACGGGAGGCAGCAGUGGGGAAUUUUGGACAAUGGGCGCAAGCCUGAUCCAGCAAUGCCGCGUGCAGGAAGAAGGCCUUCGGGUUGUAAACUGCUUUUGUACGGAACGAAACGGUCCGGGUUAAUACCCUGGGCUAAUGACGGUACCGUAAGAAUAAGCACCGGCUAACUGCGUGCCAGCCGCCGCAGUAACAC
rnacentral:rRNA from 1 species